rnacentral:tRNA from 1 species
AGCAGCGUGGCUUAGUGGAAAGAGCACGGGCUUGGGAGUCAGAGGUCAUGGGUUCUAAUCCCGUCUCCGCCA